rnacentral:rRNA from 1 species
CCUACGGGAGGCAGCAGUGAGGAAUAUUGGUCAAUGGUCGGGAGACUGAACCAGCCAAGCCGCGUGAGGGAUGAAGGUACAGAGUAUCGUAAACCUCUUUUGUCAGGGAACAAAGGCGGGGACGCGUCCCCGGAUGAGUGUACCUGAAGAUAAAGCAUCGGCUAACUCCGGGCCAGCAGCCGCGGUAAUACGGAGGAUGCGAGCGUUGUCCGGAUUGAUUGGGUUUAAAGGGUGCGCAGGCGGUCUGUUAAGUCAGAGGUAAAAGCCCGGGGCUCAACCCGGGCCCGCCGUUGAAACUGGCAGUCUCGAGUUGGAGAGAAGUAUGCGGAAUGCGCGGUGUAGCGGUGAAAUGCAUAGAUAUCGCGAAGAACUCCGAUUGCGAAGGCAGCAUGCCGGCUCCACACUGACGCUGAGGCACGAAAGCGUGGGUAUCGAACAGGAUUAGAUACCCCAGUAGUC